rnacentral:rRNA from 1 species
UACGGAGGGAGCUAGCGUUGUUCGGAAUUACUGGGCGUAAAGCGCACGUAGGCGGCUUUGUAAGUUAGAGGUGAAAGCCCGGGGCUCAACCCCGGAAUUGCCUUUAAGACUGCAUCGCUUGAAGUUCAGGAGAGGUGAGUGGAAUUCCGAGUGUAGAGGUGAAAUUCGUAGAUAUUCGGAAGAACACCAGUGGCGAAGGCGGCUCACUGGAC